AUGGAGCUCCUAGCUCAUAGUUCUUCUGCCAUUUUGGGGAUUUUGCAUCUGGUUUCUUCAUCAAAAAUUGUAACCGGACCUAGCCAGACAACAGCAAGAUUGAAGAACAGGACUUUCCAGGACUUAUUCCCUCCUCAUAAGCAUCAAUUUGAACAGCAGCUCAUGCACAAGAGCUCCUUCACAAAAGCUGGACAGACCAGGUGUGAGCUUAUAGCACCAGGGUUUAGCACAAAAAAAGGACCAUAGAAGAGGACAGGAAAGAGCACUCAGUUCCUGCCUCAGACUUUUCUCCACCAACCCCGAGCAGCACAGUAUGGAGAUGGGAACACUCGGUCCGGGGAAAGGAGAUGAUAAGCACUAGCAUUUGCCUCCGAUCACAACAGCAAGCCUGCCACCGUCCAACUCAGCACUGGGCAGUCCCGCAUGGCCCCAGGCUCCAGGACUGCACCACAGCCCAGUCCCCAGGCCCAACACCACCAGCUUCAGUCUCUACAGCACAGAGACUUGGUCUCAAGCCUGCCCAGCACCAGGCUGGCCCCAGUGAGCACUGUUGGUAGCAAAGGUGUAGCUACCGCAGAAUACAGAAACGAGCUCCCUCAGUCUCCUACAAAAGGAACUUUUGAGAAUCCAAAAAAAAUUGAAGUCAGGAAAACCUAAGAGAUAUCUACACUGGAUGAGUUCAUUUUACAUGAUUCAACCCUUGCAGCAAUAUGUGUCCGUUUACAGAUGAAUGGGCACACAAAAUAUGGUAUAUACAUACAAUGGGAUACUGUGCAACUUUACAAAAGGAAGAAAUCCUGUCAUACACAACUACUUUAAUGAACUUUGAGGCUCACAGUGUCUGCUCAACAAGUAUAAAGUUUCGGUUGUGGAGGAUGAAUAAAUUCUAGAA
rnacentral:lncRNA from 1 species